rnacentral:tRNA from 1 species
AGAAACUUAGGAUUAAACCAACACAAACCAGAGGCCUUCAAAGCCCCAAAUAAAAGAUAAAACCUUUUAGUUUCUG